UGGUGCAAAGCAAUAACAACCACAUUCUCUUCUUUUUCUUUUCUUUGCAUGAUGCAAGAUAAAUGGAAGGCCCCCGAAGAAACCUGAAAAACCGGGCGGGCGGGCACCCGUGCAUCUCCAUGACCAAGAUGUGAACUUCUCCUUGCAGGCCCAUAAUAAUGGCUGCUGUCGGUGCUGUCUGCACGGCGGCCCAGCGCGGUGAUGUAUGGGGGUCAUUGGGCCGGAAUGAGCGGCCCGGUAAGCAGCCAGGUCCGGUACUCAGGGGUGAAGAAACCCGGGAGGGCACAGCCAGAGGCUGCUACUAAAGCACCAUCAUUCACGCAGUGACAGAUAUGAAGCUGUAACCAGGAUAGGAUUGUAUGCCUCGCCAUGACCGCGCAAUGGAAACUAAUCCCUCGUUGCCUUUCGCCACCGCACCUGAACUCUUUACUGACCCGGGCAGAGGCAUCGUAGGGUGUGGAGUGGGGAAUUAUUUCGAUUUCAAAAACAAGAAGAAGAUGGAAACCAAAAGCCACCAGCUGGUAGCCUACAUCUUUCACCUUUUGUUGCACUUUUUCCGGACUUGCCAAUUGCUUAAAGAAAAAAAGUUAUAGUUGAUUAUGUUUUGGAUCUGAGCUUUUUAAGAAUGAAAAAAAAAAGGUUCAGGUUUGUUUCCACGAAUCAGGUCUCCUUAUCACUGUCAGCAAAGAGGAGUUAGAGGCGCAGACCUCUGGAUGUUGGCCAGGCAAAGGUCCAUAUCUUCCCACAUUGUUGACACUGAGCUCUUAAACAGGCAGGCAAGGGUUAGAGAUACUCUCAGACGAAGAUAAAACUCUUUCUGCGAGGUUUACAGCGGCCAACAUCAAGGCUAAGCGAAAGUCAACGCUUUGGUAGAAUUGGAGACAUCCCCAAGGAGGAGCAGGGCGGCGUAACUGUGCGUGAAGUUGGUUAUAAUAAAGAAAUGAAAUGUCUCUGCUACUGGCUCUUUUUCUUGGCUGAAAUGUUAUCUCGUAUUAUAAAAUGCUUAUGCAUUAAAUACCAGUUACAUUGUGAAGGUAAGUUAAAAUGUAACCCAACGUGAUCAUUAAAAAGUUAUAAUAAUGACUAUUAACAUGUUCGCGUUGUCCCGGGACUUUGUUAUUGAUUAACCUUUGCCUGAAUCGACUUCUGUGUUCAGACUGGCUGAAAGGCUCUUUAACAGGCAACAGGAGAAACUUUUGUUUUGUAUCUGGGCUAAAUUAAACUUCCUCUUAAUUCUA